ensembl:lncRNA
GGAGGAGGUGAUGAGGAGGACAGAGUCUGAUGGGAAUGAAUGAGAAGCAGGAGGUGAAAAAGGAGAAACAGGUUCAUGUACCUUCAGUGUGAAGCUCCGCUGCUUCUCCUGCAGCAACUUCCUGCUUCUUCUCCUCCACAUCUUCCAGUCCAGAGUCAUGAUGAUCAGGUUCAUCCACCGUCGGAGAGGAGACGCAAGGAGGUGAUGUAGACUCCUCAGGGAGAGGAGGAGGAACACUGGACUCCUCAGAAACAGUGUGAUGAAGACUGGACUCCUCGGAGUGUUCUAGGUGUGUGUCUGUUGUGUUAUUUCCAGAUAAAGGGUCCUCAGCGUGUUUGUGUUUUGUGUUAUUUUCAGUAAAACAGUCUUUUUCUAUAUGUGCUUGUCUUUCUCCUCUUUCUCCUCCUCCUCUCUCUUCUUCCAUCACCUCCUCUUUUCUCUCCAGACUCUGCUGCAUGAUUAGAACCUGAACCUCCUCUUCUAGCUCCACCUGCUCGGCACCUUCAUCCUCUGACUCCUCCUCUUCAUCCUGGCUCCUCCUACACUGCUCCUCCUCCUGCACCUCCUCUUCUCCUUCUGACUCUACAACUUCAUUCUUUCCUUCUGUCUCCUCCUGCUCUCUCUGUUCUGUUCUGGUUUCAGGUUCUGGGUUCUGGUUCUGGCCUGGUUCUGUACCUGCUAUAGGUUCCUGCUGACAGGAAACUGGUCUGAGGACAACUGCUCCACAGAAGUCCUGGUCCUGGUCCUGGUCCUGGUCCUGCUCUGAGAGCCUGGAGUCCACCUCCACACCGGGCUGACAGAAGUGUGUGGUUCCACUGGUGUGUGUCAUAGCAGCAGAGUGUGCAUUUGUGGUGUGAGGUGUAUGUGUUGUUGUUCCAGGUGUGUGUGUAGUUAUACUGUGUGCAGGUGUGUGUGUUGUUGUUCCAGGUGUGUGUGUUUCAGAUGUGUGUGCAGGUGUGUGUGUCCCAGGUGUUUGUGUUGUUGUAGUGUGUGUAGGUGUGCGUGUUGUUGUUCCAGGUGUGUGUGUUGUUGUAGUGUGUGUAGGUGUGUGUGUUGUUGUUCCAGGUGUGUGUGUUGUUGUUCCAGGUGUGUGUGUUGUUGUAGCGUGUGUAGGUGUGUGUGUUGUUGUUCCAGGUGUGUGUGUUGUUGUAGCGUGUGUAGGUGUGCGUGUUGUUGUUCCAGGUGUGUGUGUUGUUGUUCCAGGUGUGUGUGUUGUUGUAGCGUGUGUAGGUGUGCGUGUUGUUGUUCCAGGUGUGUGUGUUGUUGUAGCGUGUGUAGGUGUGUGUGUUGUUGUUCCAGGUGUGUGUGUUGUUGUAGUGUGUGUAGGUGUGUGUGUUGUUGUUCCAGGUGUGUGUGUUGUUGUUCCAGGUGUGUGUGUUGUUGU